UACGGGGGGGGCAAGCGUUGUUCGGAAUUACUGGGCGUAAAGGGCUCGUCGGCGGCCAACUAAGUCAGACGUGAAAUCCCUCGGCUUAACCGGGGAACUGCGUCUGAUACUGGAUGGCUUGAGGUUGGGAGAGGGAUGCGGAAUUCCAGGUGUAGCGGUGAAAUGCGUAGAUAUCUGGAGGAACACCGGUGGCGAAGGCGGCAUCCUGGACCAAUUCUGACGCUGAGUGAGCGAAAGCCAGGGGAGCAAACGGG
rnacentral:rRNA from 1 species